UUAAAAUCAGGUCUCUCGGAUAUCGAGUCCUGUGCUAUCUCUAAGGCAAAUCCCAAAGUUUUCUCAAUUAUGGUAUGAAACACGAGUGUUUAGGGAGUUCCCAUUGUGGCUCAGUGGUAGUGAACCCAACUGGUAUGCAAGAGGAUGUAGGUUUGAUCCCUAGCCCCCUCAGUAGUUAAGCAUCAGGCAUUGCCUUGAGCUGUGGUAUAGUUUGCAGACACCUGUUGGAUCCCGUGUUGCUGUGGCUGUGGCAUAGGCCAGGAACUGCAGCUCUGAUUCAACCCCUAGCCUGGGAGCUCCCAUAUGACACAGGUUGUGUGGCCCUAAAAAACAAGAAAACAAACAAACAAACAAAAAACCAGGAGUGUUUAAAUGAAUCUAUACUAACACAGAGCAUAAAUGGAAGUAGACUGUCAACAAAUGUUGAGAACAUCGGGAGUUCCACCUGGUACUGUAAGGUUAGCUGGGUUACAUUUGGGACAACACCUGUAGGCCUGCUAUUUUCCCCUAUUCACGGUCUGUCCUCCUGCAUCCUCCCCAUAAUCUUGCCCCAGUGUUAAUGCUUUAUCUCAGUGUCACUACUGUUUGAGUCCCUGUAUUAGAUAUAAGGGGAAAAAAAGUUCUUACGCUUGAGGAGAGGCAACAAGCAAAUAAGCACAGACAAAACAGCAUACCCCUUCCACACCUCCCUAGGAAAAUGGUAAUGGACACAGUCUGGAAGCUUGGAGACCAACUCCCCUACCUACUAAGGAAAACAAUCCACUAACUCUCAUUCAAAAUAAAGUGCAAACAUAUCAGUGAUAAGGUUUGAAAUGUUACCUUUCGUCAGGAGUAUUUCCAGGGUUUAUAUAAAAAAUAUUUAAAGCCCAGAAUGACUUGAAGACCAACUAAUUAAAACAGGAUGAAUUACAGUCCAGAACCCAAAGACCCCUAAAUGGGCUCAAGGUUAGUUUAGCUGUGGGAGCAUGGGAGGUUCCAGAGGUCCAAGAACAGGGCCUAUGGUGGCUAUGGCUUAGAAGUGGGGAUGGAACGGAUGCACUAGGAAGCGCAAGGCAGUGGCUUUAUUUCUGCAGUCAAAGUCAAAAUCUUCCAGUAUAUUCACAACUAAUAAAUUUCUCUAGUGCCAGUGGAAUACCAGCUCUUUUAUUUGCUUUUAGAGGCCAUUCUCUGUUUCUUGUAAGCCUUGCUGAGAUUUUCCCUAAGCUCCCCUGUGAUAUAUCUGACAUCUGUAGGCCACAGAAAGCGGUGCCCCAGGAAUCACUUCACAUGUAUAGCUACCUGCUCUUGAAGUGGGUCAACCACAUAUCAGCAGGACUGACAGAAACCUUAGAAGAUGUUUUCGUGUUAAAAAUUUGGUCAAAGGAGAGCUUUCAACUUGUGAAAACUCCUCAUUUUACUUUAGUGAAAUACUAAUAGAUGCAGCAGUGUUAAAACUUUUUUAUGCUCUAUCCUUGACCAAUCCCUUUCACAGUGUUAUUCCCUUUUCACUUUGACUGUAUGGAUUUUCCAGGGCUGCUAUCACAUCAUCCCCAUUUAACAGACGAGGAAAUGGAAGCACAGGAAGGAUAAUGACUAGUCAUAUUGUUCAGCAGGUGACAAGAGUCAGUGAGUACAGUGAGGGCUUUAGGGUCUGACAAGCUGGAAUUGAAAUCUGUCUCCAACUCUACUGCUAGACAACUUCAAAUGUGUUCUAUUUUAAUCACUUGAGUCUCAAUUCCUCAUUGGUAUAUUAGGGACAUCAGAACUUACCUCUUGAGUUGUCUUGUGGUUUAAAUGAGGCAAAUGUUUGGAAACUACACAGUGCUUGGCACAUAGUAAGCCUCAAUAAAUGGUGGCUACUCUUGUAAAUAAGUCAUUCAGCAACUUCUGACACAAAGGCCUCUUCUUUAACACAUAUCACCCUUUUUUUUACAUCUACUCAUAAUACAGUCGAAAACUCAACCUCCUGGAGUUCUCUGGUGGCUCACUGGGUUAAGGAUCCAGUGUUGUCACUGCAACAGGAAGAAACAAACAAAGUCCUAUUGUAGAAUUAAGACAGAAUCCUGAAAAUUUGAAAUAGCAACCAUUGCUGGUAUAUUCUUUUAGUAUCAAAUGCUGUGUGAUAAUAUUUACAUAGUUUAGUGCCAAUGAAAAAUACUAAGGAAAACAAACACAUAUAAACAAAAAUACUUGCUUCAUGUUUAGAGUUCUAACAUAUGAAUCUCUCCAUUCUACAGAGUAUUACACACACUUGUCAAAUAGAGAACUUGAAACUCCAUAUCAUAGUUGGAUAUUGAUUAAGUUCACAGCCAAACUAUUGAGGCUAGUAAAGUUACAGAGAAUGGUGGUGCACUUAUACAGCACUUCUUUAAGAAGAAGGUUUAUCUUCUUACAUCUUCUUUGUUCAAUAAACCUUUCUACACAAUUUUUCUAUUGGAUUUUCCAAGCCGUCAACCUGUGGACUUUAACUCCUUACCUUUCGUGUGUUUCUUUUUUUGGAGGGGUGGGUGUAUACAUUGGGCAAAAAGAUGAGUUUUUCAUAGUCUCCUGAACCUAAUAAGAUUUGUGUGUAUCUUCAGAAGGUGCAAAUUUCACGGUCUAGGAGGGAAAAUAUUACAUUUGAAAGUCUUUUCUAAGAUGAUUGGAAAAAUUGCCAAAACAAUUCAAGAAUGGUUUGGAAGACAGAGUAUAGGUUAAAAUAGGGAUGUAAUUCUUAUCUCUGUAUUUUAUUUGAGGCAAUCUCCUCCUUGCUCUGUGAGUCAGUAUCAUUUUGCUUUACUCUGAAUUUUAAAAUGUGUACAUAUCCCUUGACACUGUGAAUGCUUCCUGAGUUUCUUGCAUACAGACUUGCUGGUCACUGCUACCAAAAAUUCACUCCCUCUCUGGGUCUCAGCGGUGGUCACUGGUUGACAACUGCUUUAGAAGAGGUGACUUCUCUCACCUCUUCCCAUAGGAGCUCUGCAAGUCUGGAUUUCUCAACCCACCACAACCAUCUGUGAUUAAUUAGUUGUCUAAGUUUAUCGAAAUAAUAGGGCCAGAUACACAAUUCAGUUGUCCCCUGACAUGUAAAAAUACAAGGCUGCUACAAAUUUCAGUGGGUGACAGUACACGAAAUUACUACCUAAAACAAAAAUUCCAUUCUGAAGCAUUCCUGGACUUCCAAAUGUUGGAAUGUCACCCUCCUUUUCAGAGGGAGAGUUUAAAGGUCAAGUGAAAUUUGCAGAAGUGCUGCCAUAUUUACCAUCCCUUAGACCUAGUCCUCCAUUCUAAUUAAAGAGUUAAUCUGUGCAGUUAGCUCCUCCCAAAGUGCAAAUCGUCCUCCGAGAGAGGAUCUUUGAGCCUCUCACCCUCAUUUUUUGCCUCAGAGCCCUGACUAUGUUCUUCCCUGUAUUGGAUUAUGCAUUGGUCCAUUUUAUUUAAAUCCUGGGCGUUCUUCUAAACCCAGGUCAAGCUUUUAUUCCCUGCUAUAGUCCUAACUUCCACCUUCCAUUCUCUGAACACUUAAUGCUUUCACUCAUCAGUUUCACAAAAAAAUCAUUUAAAUGUAUAGCCCCAAAGUGUAGAAUUUAGAAGGAGAGGUAGAUACUACUGGAAACAUUAAUGUAAGGAAAAUUUUCACUCAGAGCAGCCAAAAGGGAAAAAUAGGCCAGCUUGUGAUGUCAGAAUAUUCCUGUCACAGGCUGUAUUUAAGAAUUGGCCAAACAGCGGAUCGGGGAGCCUGAUCUAGAGGGGAUUUGGGUAUUAGAUGGGUUAUUUACAGAACUCUAAGAUCCCUGAGAUUAUGCCAUUUUAUAAUUUUUAAUAGCAUGUAGACUCAAUGAGAAUAGAGAUCUUACCUUACACUGCUUCUGUACCCUAAAAAGCAAGUCAUGUAACAGGGGCUACUUGAUUCUAAAUUGUUUGCUUGCAUUUGUUUUACUAGUUAGUUUCCUCUUACAUCAGGAGGUACAGGGCAGCAAGGAAAACAUUUAGGUGGAGAAGGAGCUUACAAGAAAUGUUACACAAAGCUUACAGCAUAUAUAAAAUAUGCUUAAUUUACAACUCCCUCCUUCAUGUGAUAUCUUUUGUUAUUUUUAAUUCAUAGAGAAAUAUAGUCCAGGCGUUCUUAUUAAGGUGAUGCCAGGUCUGGUUACAGGCAAAAAUAAACAUCUUAAAAUGCAUUCAUAAUAAUAAUAUUUAAAAGAAAUACUUUUCUUUUAUUCUGAAUUAAUAAUUCAGUCUCUGUGGUUUCUUGCUUUUGUUUUUCUAAGGGUGAAAUGAUCAAAAAGAACUCUGCUUGGCCAUACUUUGUUUUUUUAUUUUACUUNAUAUUACAUACAUAUUAUAAUAUAUACAUGCUUUGUUUUUUUUAAAGAUCUUACUUACACCCUUUCUCAUUUAAUCCUCACAACAGUCUUGUUAGUAAAACAGUCUUGUUGGUUCUUCAAGCUGUCGGUAAAAUAAUACCUUGUCGAUUUUCCAGAGGAAAUUAAGGCUUAAAAAGUUUAAGUGACUCAUCCAAGAUCAUGCAGCCAUUGAUAAAACAUAGUCCUCCUCUUUAGUUUUAGACCCACCAGUUUAAACCAUAAUGCUACUAGAUGCAUAAUGCAAUUAGCAUAUUUGUUUGUUUGUUUACUUAUUUUAGGGCCACAUCUGCAGCAUCUGUAAGUUCCUAGGCUAGGGGCUGAAUCAGAGCUGCAGCUGCUGGCCAAAGCCACAGCCACAGCCACAGCCACAGCAAUGUGGGAUCCGAGCUGCAUUUGUAACGGUAAACCACAGCUCAUAGCAAUGCCGGAUCCUUAACCCACUGAGGGAGGCCAGGGAUAGAACUUGCAUCCUCACAGACACUUUGUCGGUUUCCUAACCAAGUGAGCCACAACAGGAAUUCCCAAUUAGCAUGUUUAUACACUGCAACUCACAAAGGUUUUUAAGUGAGCUUAACCUAGGCAAAAGAGAAAUUUAAAAUACAAAUAGUUUAAUAUGUGAUAUAAAAUUAUUUUCUAUAGCUAAAUGUUACUAGAGUGUGAGACAUAAAUCUGAAUGUGAGGUUUACUGCAUGCACUAAUUUCAAGGAUUAUGGAAAAAAGUGAGGAGAUAUGCUCUUGUUUAAAAAAUCACAGGGCUAUAGAGACAUCUUGUUUUUGAUGUAAGAGAUAGUGUAAAGAAAGAUGCAGAGAAGAAUGUACUUAUACAAAAAAAAUGCAGUAUGUCGAAACUAAGAGUUGUUUAAAAAAAAAUAGUAGAGGGAACCAAGAACAAAAGAUAAAUAAAAGAAUUAAGCAAGAUUAUGAAUUAGCUUUCAUGAAUGAAAAUGAAAGAAUGAAUGAAUAAAAUCAUAGAGAAAUUUUAAACCGAAGUCUCCAAAUACAGAAACUUGGAAGUCACUCUCUCUUAUUCUUCAUAUACAAGAAUGGAUGUUAUGUGCUGGAUAGAGAGCAAGUUCCAGGGUGGAAGGGAUCAGCUGCUUAGGGCUUGACCACUCCUUUCCCUCAGCCGCCCGACACAGUAAGAAACAGGCAGCAGUGUUCGCAAGAGCGGGUAUAUAACCUCACUGAUGUUUUAAGUGGCCAUAAAGAAGCUGGCUGAGCAUGAAAUUUCAUCAUUAAAGUUUAUGCUUUGCGUUGGGGGGAGGGGAGGAGAAACAAAAAUCAAUAUUAGAUAAAAGAGGAGGAGGAGAACAUGAUAACAGCUCAUAUGAGAAAAAAAUGAUGUGGUUCCUAGAAGAUGGUUAAUUUUUAGGGGGAUAAAUGACAUCUGUGAUUUUGAAAGCAGCCUGAGCUGGUGGCUCUUCCCUUCCCUGUGAUCCAGAAUGGAAGAGAAGGAGGGAAAUACCAUAAAGACGCUCUUUUUCUUUCUUUUCUGCUUUUUAGGGCCACACCUGUGGCAUAUUGAGGUUCCCAGGCUAGGGGUCGAAUCAGAGCUACAGCUACCAGCCUACACCACAGCCGCAGCAAUGUAGGGAUCCAAGCUGUGUCUGCAACCUACACCACAGCUCAUGGCAAUGAGUGAGGCCAGGGAUUGAACCCACAUCCUCAUGGAUCUACUCGGAUUCGUUUCCGCUGCUGCGCCACAACAGGAGCUCCAAGAGGUUCUUUUUCUAAACUGAACAUGAUAUGAUAGCUGCUGUUUUGUGAGUUGUGAUGAAAAAAUGCUGACAACCUUUUCUGAACAUAAGGGGAACAGGGUUCCGUUCAAGGAUCUCAGGGAAAAAAGCAUAGUUUGCAUGUAUGUGGUAGUACAAUUAUGUUGAAUUUCUACGGAAAUCUAUUUUUUAUUUUUUUGUCUUUUUGUCCUUUUAGGGCCACACCUGCGGCAUAUGGAGGUUCCUAGGCUAGGGGUCUAAUUGGAGCUGUAGUCGCUAGCCUACACCACAGCCACAGCAACGUGGGAUCCGAGCCAUGUCUGCAACCUACACCACAGCUCAUGGCAACACCUGUUCCUUAACCCACUGAGCAAGGCCAGGGAUCGAACCCGCAACCUCAUGGUUCCUAGUCGGAUUCAUUAACCACUGAGCCACGACGGGAACUCCCUGCUGGGGAAAUUUAUAUACUUACUCAGAUGACAAAAAUAAAUACCAUUUCUUUAACUUUUGGUACCUACUCCAGUAUUUCUCCCAGUCUUCUCUGUGCUCAGUAGACUGAGGUUAGGGUGGAGUUGGGAAGAGGUGUUAGUGUUUAACCAUUAACAGUCUCUUUGUCUCUUCCAGUCAAAAUGGUCUGUUUUGGACAUCCAUCCAGCUGUCUUUUCGGCAAAUAGUGCCAUUCCCACCACCUUCUCCCACGGCAGCCUCACGUCCCAUUUGGCUGCCAGGUGAGAGGCAGGAAAUAGAGUUUUGAAAUAGGCUUGCAUGUCAACAGUGCGGCUCAUUUCUGUAAUCAAGGGGCUGAUCUGAUCUGGGCUUAGGGCUGGUGACCACAGAUGUACUCUCUGGUCCUGCGUGGCCUUUGACAGCGGUUUGCAAGCAGGUACUACUGGACCCUGCUCCUAGUCAUUUGCUUCUUUAUUCCCACUCUGGGGCUCCAGUAAUUUAUUUGCCCUCAUAGCGCUCUCAGGUCAUUUCACACAAAUGCCUGGGCCCCUUGCAUGCCAGAUAUAAGUUUCAGAGCCUUGUCUCAGAACCAUCUCUCUGGCCAAUUUCUUCGCCAGGCCAUCACCAACUUUCCUGAAAUGGACCAAGGCCUUCCAGCACAGCUCUCUCUUUCCA
rnacentral:lncRNA from 1 species